GGGUUUACCCAUUGGUCAGGCUUAAUUGUCUGCACUGGUGAGAUAAAUCUCUACCUUCUGAGGAACUUUCAUGUCAUUAGUUUGGUGUGAUUGGAAAUCAGGACUGUUACUUUGAAAAAAUUAGAGUGUUUAAAGCAGGCUAACGUCUGAAUACAUUAGCAUGGAAUAAAGAAAUAGGACGGACUGAUUCUAUUUCGUUGGUUUCUAGAGUCGCCGUA
rnacentral:rRNA from 1 species